GUUUAAAGGAUCUUGAGAGACGAUCACGGUAUCACAGAGACCGCAAGAUAUGGUGCCGAUGAGUGUUGCCGGGCGAUUACGGGAGACGAUCGCGGUAUCACCGAGAGAGUAAAUAAUAAAUGAAGACUUGUAACGGUAGUCUUUGUAGUAACCGAAUUAAACCCAUACGAUCAACAACCGAAUGAGUGUUAUCCGAUAGUUAUAACCUUGAACCUACCACUCGCUAGACAGUAGACAGACGCAGGCUCCAAACAAAGUUGGAUAGAUUUAGUGACGGCUACACGUGGGAUUCGAGUAAGGAACACAAUAUGGCACUGAUUCCACCGCUAAAAACAGCAUUUUGCGGUUGCUCCAACAAAACUGGUUGCAAAAUCAUCGGAUGGGCAACAUUGGUUUUAGGUAUUAUAGGACUAAUAGUAUACAUAUUUAUACUGACGUGGGCUUCAAACUCAAUAUCUAACACAAGUGACGAAGAACUGGGAGAAAAAAUCAUAAAAUUGCUUAACAAAACCGAAACCCAGAAUGUUGACAUUGAUGAUGAAGAUCAUGAAUUUAACCUUGAAUAUGUUUUGAGGAAGGUGGUUGGAAACAAAUUAGAUACCAAUGAUCCUGCAGCAAUUGGCCAACAUGUGAAAAAACAGCUGGCAGCCUAUUACUGUAUACCUAUUGACCUGUCCAAUUCCUGCCCUGGACUACGGACGGAAACUACAAGUAUUCAAGUAUUCAAGUAAGUAAUUAUGUUCAACGUUUUGAUCUUCUUGUAUGUGGUCAUCUUCUUGAUAGAGACAUUGACCACAACUACAAUGCUCUAUGGGGUCUACAAGAAUAAGUCCGGCUACAUCAUGUUCUACUUGGUCAUUAGUGCGAUAGCCAUCGUGUUAAUGUUCCUUGGCUUAUUCAGAUCUCAAAGUCUCUAUUUCCUACUCUACAUGAUAGCCAUCAUGAUCACCCAUCUGUAUUUGACUUGGGUAGUCUACAGCUUCUACAUAGAGCUGCGUGAUCCUGCAAGAUCCUCUUCUCCGUCAAAGAAUGAGAUUCGUGGACAACACCAUAUGGAGGGACAAGUGCCGAUGUUAAUCUCAAAAGGAAAUCAUUGAGCAAAUCACCCCAAGAAAUUAGUGUCAAAAGCUAUGCGUAGCUCAUACGUAGGUCUGCUUUCUGCUUGAUCUAACUUUAUGUUUUAUAUUUUUAUAAUAAACUAUGAGUACAAAUCACAUGUACAAAAGGACAUACAUUUAUAUCAGGCUAUGAUGUAAUUGAUCCCACAGAAAUAAAAAGGCACUCGAUAUUACUUUAAGUGUUUGUUUUUAUAUAGAAAUAAAUGUUUAUUUUUA